rnacentral:rRNA from 1 species
UGAAGUUUUCUUUUAGAGAUUUAAAAUUUGAUCAUGGUUUAAAAUGAUUUAAAAUGGUAUUAUCUAAAUUUGAUUUACGGAGUGGACAAUGAAAAUUUAUCCCGGCAAAUUAUCGCUUGUAAAAUACUUGUUCCAGAAUAAUCGGCUAGACUUGUUAAGCUUGUACUUUAAUUGUUGUUAACUAUAAAUAUAAAUAUAUUACUUUAAGAGUUUAAGGUAGAAUUAGAACUUUUUUAAGAAAAAAUUUAUAGUUUUAAAUUUUGUUGAACGAAUUAGAUUAGUACCUAAUUAGACAAAAAUUAAAAGAGCAGGAGUAAAGUUGUGUUUAAACUGAAAAGAUAUUGGCAGACAUUCUAAAUUAUCUUUGGAGGCUGAGUAAUAAUUGAGAACCCCCAUUAACUACUUAGUUUUUAGACUCAUGUAUGAUCGUUUAUUUUAUUCUUAAGGAUUAUAA